AAAGGGCGGGUCACGCACAGCAGCCUGGAAGGAGCUGGCAUUUGUUGGGAAAGGGCAAAAAGACCAGCCAGAAGGCCACUGAGGACCCGCUCUGGUGUCCAGGGAGCUGAGGGCCCUGGGGGAGGAGGGCAGGAAUGGUCAUUACACCAGUUCUCCCCGCUUCUGUGCCAGGGGCCUCGGAUCCAUGAUGAGGAGGCUGGAAAUGAUUGGAGAGUGAGACCAGUCAAGGCCUUGAUGUAUUGCAUAACAUCCUCUAAUCCUAGGGAAGGGUCAAAGAUAGAAGCCAAAGGAUCAUACCAAUGAAACACAUUUCUAGACCAUCGGUGUUAAAGAUGGGGUGUUUUUGAAAGUACAAGCAACAAUUGAUUCUAGCUGUAAGAGUCAUGUUUAAAGAAGGAAGCGUUGCUAACAAAACCAGUAAGAGAUCUAAACCACCGCUUUCUAAUUCUUGGAAAGAGGGUGAGGAAAAAACUCUCAGC
rnacentral:lncRNA from 1 species